rnacentral:lncRNA from 1 species
CAUCUUCAACGUUAAGGAAUUGCUCACUCUUUCAAAAUUUUCUACUUAUCUGCAGUCCUUUCAACGAAUUGCAUAUAUUAAUAGGACUUUCGGUAUCCAAUACCUAGGUAGUAGUAUCACAAAUAGAGAAAUUAUAAGGUGUUACAUAUAAAUACCUUGUGAAGCAACCACUUGUCUUUUUCUUUUAUUCUUAGGUCUGUUUGGAUCAAGGAUGGCUAUAUAAGCAGGAUAAUUUCUUUUUUAAUAACCCAGCUUUUUACAGAAGAAGCACUCUGCCUGGCUCUUGUCAACUUUUAACGGUUUGCUCUGCCUG